CACAGACAUGCUCUCUCACACACACACACACUCACACACACACACACACACACUACUGACUGCUGCCAGCCAUGGCCUUUUUGCAUAGCAGGAAAAUGAAACUGCUAUUUGCAUUCAGAAUUUCUGAGGGCUGAGUUUCCAUUGACAACAUGUCAGUGCUAUGUGUUUGUGUGCUCUCAUCUGUUCCUCUAGACAUCUCAUAGACAAGGUUGUCUAUUGACAUGUGUAUCAUUAUAUCAGUAAGAUAUGAAAAAGACAUGCCAAGUAUCAACACAGUGAAGUCUGCUCCUGGGUUUCCAGAUGUUCUGUACGUGCUGCUCUCAGCCUGCGUUUAAUGGCUCAUCCGCCAGCAAGACAGGUAUUCCUCAUCUUAGAGAAUACCAAUGUGAAAACAAUUGGAAAACUGGAGGUGUGGAGUUUGAACUUAGGACGUGGGUGUUAACCAACCAUGAAUGGGCCUAACAAAAGCUUUGUGUUUAAUUAUGUGAAAUGUAGGUUCCAACAACAUCUUCACUCCUACGAGGGACUAAAAGUCAGGAUAUUUCUGCCUCUACUAUGUAGAUUUUGACCAUUCUUUUUCUUACAGUCUCAUGCGAGUCCCCCACCUUUAUGGAAGUGCAAUAUAAAAUUGCCCCCUUUCACUUUCAGACCAUUACAGGAAACUAAAAUGCUCCACAGGUUUAAUUACAUCUUAAUUAAUAUUAUUUAAGUAGUUGUACAUUUUUAUUCCUAACUUGUAUAUAUUUUAAAUAUUUGUUGUUGUAUUCUGUCCUAUUUAUUAUUUCAUGUAUAUUGUAUCCUAUUAUUUCAUGUAUAUUCUGUAUGUGUGCUGUGUGUUUGAUAUUUUGCUGCUGUAACACUGUAAUUUCCCAUUUUUGGGAUCAACAAAAAUCUGUCUAUCUAUAACCUACCAUGCAUGUUAGGCAGAAUAUUUCAUCAUAGCAAUGGACUUGAAAUGUCUAAAAUAAACAGACGUGCGCCGAUCUGA